ACCUAUAUACAGUACUUGUUGUUGGGUCUCUAGGUCUACCACUGGUAUCUUGUAGACCCCUUGUUUCUCCUUAUCUUUCCUGGGAUCCUUUUCAUUCCUUAGCAUGUUAAAUAUUAUUUGUCUUCUCUGAAAUGUCAGUUUUUUGUUUGCUUUCCUGCCUACUUUAUUUUCAAAAUUAAAUUUUUUAAAACUAUAUGGCACAGUUAGAUACCAUUCCUGCUGAGAUGGCUGUUGCAGUACCUAUGCAUUGUUAUCAGCUUUUUUGCAAAGGUUCUUCUGUAUGGCGCUAAGGAUGUUUAAUAAAAUGGUUUUCCAUAGCCAUGCUGCUGACCAAUACUUAGAAUGUAAUCUACCUCCUAUUUCAAAGCAUUAGGCUUUGUAUUCUACAAUAUAGCCCUCCUGAAAAAUACCUAAAGGUUGCUUUCUUAUACAUCAGAGGAUCUUGGGACCAAUUGGGUAUCGGGACUGGUUCAUAUGUGGAUUUCCUGAAUACUGAUGUCUUCAGCCUUCCAUUAUCUAUGGUUAUUUUGAUGUCCAAGAUAGGACAUCAAAAUAAUCAUAUUUGUUCAAUUUUUAGUGUGAGACUAUAUAUGUCUAGAGUAAGGGCCUUGAUAAAAUCCUGUAAUCUUGCACUAUCCUUCCAUAUGGUCAUAAUGCUGCCUAUAUACUUCACAUAGAAUCUCAAGGCUGGCUUGAAAGUGUGUACUAUUUGAUAUUCUAUAUUUCUAAAAACUAUCUCUGCCGAUGAGCCUGCUAUUGGGCUUCCUAUUGGAACACCUCUAGUUGGUCCUUAAAUUUGUAAUACAAUUUAUAGCAAUUAGAUAGGCUAUUUUCCUUAGUAAGGUACACUUUCUUGGGCUUCUGAGAUGUUCUCUAAUAGAAACCUAUAUAGGAAUAUAGAACACUAUAGAACACUAUGCAGGUUGGCUUGAGACGUAGGAACGGGUACAGGCUGUCGAUGUUACCAGUAUGUCUCCUUGGUCCCAUUCAAUGCUUUGUAUCUUUGUCAAGACAUUUGCUGUUACAAUUGUCGAAUUAUCCGUUUCUUUUAGAAUUGAUGUGCACCAUCAGGUUAUAACUUUUUCUAAGUUGUAUGUAGGUGCCGACCUUUUUUUCAACUAUUGGCCUUCCAGUCAAUGGGCUUUUAUGGAUUUUUAUUUUUGUACCAUAAUUUAAUUUCGUUUCAUUGUGUUUUGGUGUUGCUUCUAUGUUGAUG
rnacentral:lncRNA from 1 species